GGUCCGCUGGCUCAAUGGCAGAGCGUCUGACUACGAUCUCCUCUAAGGAGUGCGGUAAUCAGGAGGUUCCAGGUUCGACCCCUGGGUGGAUCG